rfam:Perkinsela sp. CCAP 1560/4 XT18scaffold_49, whole genome shotgun sequence.
GGGCGUUUAGCUCAGUGGUAGAGCGCUCGAUUUGCAUUCGAGAGGCCUGGGGUUCAAUCCCCCAAUCGUCCA